rnacentral:rRNA from 1 species
UACGUAGGGGGCGAGCGUUGUCCGGAUUUAUUGGGCGUAAAGAGCUCGUAGGCGGUUUGGCAAGUCGGGUGUGAAAACUCCGGGCUCAACUCGGAGACGCCACUCGAUACUGCCAUGACUCGAGUCCGGUAGGGGAGUGCGGAAUUCCUGGUGUAGCGGUGAAAUGCGCAGAUAUCAGGAGGAACACCGGUGGCGAAGGCGGCACUCUGGGCCGGUACUGACGCUGAGGAGCGAAAGCGUGGGGAGCGAUCCGG